ensembl:lncRNA
UUGACAUACUGCAAUCUAAAUAUCUUUAUUUUUUCUCUCUAGGUUACAUUUCCGGUUCCAGUUAAGAAAAGGGAUGAAAAGUUGCUUUUUAGACAAAAUAAGUCCUUACCCUCAAAGGAAAAUUGCUCCUGAAAUACAAGCAGAAAUCAGUGGACCUCAUCAUGCAUGCUGUUCCUCUGUCUGGACAACUCUUCACACACCUUCCACUCAGUUAACUGCCACUCACCUUUCACAUCUGAACUUACUGCUCAGUCACUUGGGGAGACUGUACCCUCUAAACAAGAUUAUAAUUUCCUGCCACCUGCCAUCAGACCCCACUGAAUUCUGCCUGUCACACAACAUAUUCAUCACAGUCGAAGAGUAUUUACUUGUCUGCCUCCCCUAGAAGACUGUGAAUUCUCUGCCUUGCUCAGCCCUGAACCCCCAAAUCCCCACUGCACAGAAGUGUGAGGCCCACAGAUCUGAGAGGUGAAAUCUGGGAGUUAGUAUGGGAAUACUGGGGUAUAUAGGAGUAAUUCAUCAACAUCCUUUUUCUAUUAAUUCAAGUCAGGCUAAAAUGGAUGAGAAGGAUUUAUGUUUUCCUGGAAUGGAAAAUGAUAGAGGAUAAGAUUAAUUAGCCUGAAUGAAUCAAGAUCGCAUUCAUUAUUAGGGAAGGGUAAGCGAAAACAGACUGUGAGGGCAAGAUGUUUAUGGGAAAUGUUUUCUUAUUCUUAAAAACAAAAACAGAAACAAAAAAAACUGCACUAAAGGGAAAACCAGCCACUCUUAUUCUGUUGGACUCUGUUGUGCCUGGAUAUGGUAUCUGAAACUGUUACUAUAGAUGAAAGUAUCAUAAGUGAGAUAUCAACCAGAUGCCAAGGACUUUCUUCCUGUGCCAUAUGGAGACAAGAAUCCGCUGCCUGCUGACUUCUGAUCCUCCUCCCAGAUUCUCAUCCGUGCCUUUUGGUGUCUGCAAAAGAUUCAAAACUACACAGAGCUAUGUUUGUUCCUACGAAGUUCCACUGGAGGGCGCAAUAUCAUUACUGUUACCAGCUAAUAGAACGUGACCUGUUAGGGCUAACAUGAAUAAUUUACCGCUCAUUUUUAUAAGCUCUCUUAGUAUAGGCCACCCAAGAGAGAAAACAGUUUUGUGCCUUAGAUGAAAGGACAGCACAGGAAAUUAGAAGAAUGGCAACAAUCCUUUUCUUCACCAUCCCCCAGGAGUCCUGGUUGCUUCCUCUGCAAAUCAGUGAUGGCUUAUACAAAGAACAGUAUUAAGGACUCCGCGGCUGGACGCGGUGGGUCACGCCUGUAAUCUCAGCACUUUGGGAGGCCGAGGCGAGUGGAUCACCUGAGGUCAGGAGUUCAAGACCAGCCUGGCCAACAUGGUGAAACCCCGUCUCUACCAAAAAUACAAAAAAUUGCCCCAGGCAUGGUGGCAGACACCUGUAAUCCCAGCUACCUGGGAGGCUGAGGGAGGAGAAUCGCUUGAACCCGGGAGGCGUAGGUUGCACUGAGCCGAGAUCACGCCACUGCACUCCAGCCUGGGCAACAAGAGCAAAACUCCAUCUCAGAAAACAAACAAACAAACAAACAAACAAAUAAAUAAAUAAAUAAAUAUUCUGCUAACCUGUGGUUGGUCUGUUUGGGUCCCUGUGUAUUCUUUCCUAGGAAAAGCAUGAGGAUUAGGGUUGGGCCAUAGGACCUCAUUCCUCUAAGAGUAAUGGAACACUAGCUGCAGCAGCUCUGGUCUGUAGCAAGGGUUCAGAACUUGUCCAUGACAAGGUCUGAAAACCCGUCUUUCAAGACAAGCCAGGCUUGGUCCGUGGCUCUUCCUGCCCAUACAUUAUUAUCAUCUGCCAAAUACAACAUAGUAAUUGCUCAGGGGACAACUUCCAGGAAAACACAGCUGCGAAUCUCUCUGAUAUUUCAUAGUACUUCACCACUAGAGAGUCCCAGAAGUGAAAGCUCUGAGGCAGGC